CAGUAACGGCGAGUGAAGCGGCAACAGCUCAAAUUUGAAAUCUGGCUCCUUCGGGGUCCGAAUUGUAAUUUGUAGAGAGUGCUUCGGGCGAGACCUCGGUCUAAGUCCAUUGGAACAUGGUGUCAUAGAGGGUGAGAAUCCCGUAUGCGACCGUGGCUCGAGCCCAUGUGAAGCCUCUUCGACGAGUCGAGUUGUUUGGGAAUGCAGCUCAAAACGGGUGGUAAAUUUCAUCUAAAGCUAAAUACUGGCUGGAGACCGAUAGCGCACAAGUAGAGUGAUCGAAAGAUGAAAAGCACUUUGGAAAGAGAGUCAAACAGUACGUGAAAUUGUUGAAAGGGAAGCGCUUGCAACCAGACCUGCCCGUAGGCGAUCAGCCGCUGUUCUCAGCGGUGCACUCGCUCUGCGAUCAGGCCAGCAUCGGUUUCGGCGGUCGGAUAAAGGCCUUGGGAAUGUAGCUUCCCUUCGGGGGAGUCUUAUAGCCCUCGGUGCAAUGCGGCCAGCCGGGACCGAGGACCGCGCUUCGGCUAGGAUGCUGGCGUAAUGGUUGUAAGCGACCCGUCUUGAAACACGGACCAAGGAGUCUAACAUCUAUGCGAGUGUUUGGGUGUCAAACCCAUACGCGGAAUGAAAGUGAACGGAGGUGAGAACCCUCAAGGGCGCAUCAUCGACCGAUCCAGAUGUCUUCGGAUGGAUUUGAGUAUGAGCAUAGCUGUUGGGACCCGAAAGAUGGUGAACUAUGCCUGAAUAGGGUGAAGCCAGAGGAAACUCUGGUGGAGGCUCGCAGCGGUUCUGACGUGCAAAUCGAUCGUCAAAUUUGGGUAUAGGGGCGAAAGACUAAUC
rnacentral:rRNA from 2 species